rnacentral:rRNA from 1 species
GUCCACGCCGUAAACGAUGGAUACUAGCUGUUCGGAGCAAUCUGAGUGGCUAAGCGAAAGUGAUAAGUAUCCCACCUGGGGAGUACGCACGCAAGUGUGAAACUCAAAGGAAUUGACGGGGGCCCCGCACAAGCGGAGGAGCAUGUGGUUUAAUUCGAUGAUACGCGAGGAACCUUACCAGGGCUUAAAUGGGAGACGACAGUUUGGGAAACCAGAUUUUCUUCGGACGUCUUUCAAGGUGCUGCAUGGUUGUCGU